rnacentral:rRNA from 1 species
UACGUAGGGGGCGAGCGUUGUCCGGAUUUAUUGGGCGUAAAGAGCGUGUAGGCGGUUCGGUAAGUCUGUCGUGAAAUCCUGAGGCUCAACCUCGGGCGUGCGAUGGAUACUGCCGGGCUAGAGGGUGGUAGAGGCGAGUGGAAUUCCCGGUGUAGAGGUGAAAUGCGCAGAUAUCGGGAGGAACACCAGUAGCGAAGGCGGCUCGCUGGGCCACACCUGACGCUGAGACGCGAAAGCUAGGGGAGCGAACAGG